AGCGGCGGACGGGUGAGUAACGCGUGAGCAAUCUGUCCUGUACAGGGGGAUAACAACUGGAAACAGUUGCUAAUACCGCAUGAGACCACAAUGUCGCAUGGCAAAGGGGUCAAAGGAGAGAUCCGGUAUAGGGUGAGCUCGCGUCCGAUUAGCUGGUUGGUGAGGUAACGGCCCACCAAGGCGACGAUCGGUAGCCGACCUGAGAGGGUGAUCGGCCACAUUGGAACUGAGACACGGUCCAAACUCCUACGGGAGGCAGCAGUGGGGAAUAUUGGGCAAUGGGCGAAAGCCUGACCCAGCAACGCCGCGUGAGGGAAGAAGGUUUUCGGAUUGUAAACCUCUGUCCUUGGUGACGAAGGAAGUGACGGUAGCCAAGGAGGAAGCCCCGGCUAACUACGUGCCAGCAGCCGCGGUAAUACGUAGGGGGCGAGCGUUGUCCGGAAUGACUGGGCGUAAAGGGCGCGUAGGCGGCCUGUUAAGUUAGAGGUGAAAAGUCCUGCUUUCAAGGUGGGAAUUGCCUUUUAAUACUGAUGGGCUUGAGUGCGGAAGAGGUAAGUGGAAUUCCCAGUGUAGCGGUGAAAUGCGUAGAGAUUGGGAGGAACACCAGUGGCGAAGGCGACUUACUGGGCCGUAACUGACGCUGAGGCGCGAAAGCGUGGGGAGCGAACAGGAUUAGAUACCCUGGUAGUCCACGCGGUAAACGAUGAAUGCUAGGUGUAGGGGGUAUCGACCCCUCCUGUGCCGGAGUAAACACAAUAAGCAUUCCGCCUGGGGAGUACGGCCGCAAGGUUGAAACUCAAAGGAAUUGACGGGGGCCCGCACAAGCAGCGGAGCAUGUGGUUUAAUUCGACGCAACGCGAAGAACCUUACCAGGUCUUGACAUCGAUCUAAACCUCUGGAAACAGGGGGUGGCUUCGGCCAAGAGAAGACAGGUGGUGCAUGGUUGUCGUCAGCUCAUGUCGUGAGAUGUUGGGUUAAGUCCCGCAACGAGCGCAACCCCUAUUGUUAGUUGCUACGCGAGAGCACUCUAGCGAGACUGCCGUUGACAAAACGGAGGAAGGCGGGGACGACGUCAAAUCAUCAUGCCCCUUAUGUCCUGGGCUACACACGUAAUACAAUGGCCGUCAACAAAGGGAAGCAAAGCCGCGAGGUGGAGCAAACCCCCAAAAACGGUCUCAGUUCGGAUUGCAGGCUGCAACUCGCCUGCAUGAAGCUGGAAUUGCUAGUAAUCGUGGAUCAGCAUGCCACGGUGAAUACGU
rnacentral:rRNA from 1 species